rnacentral:rRNA from 1 species
UCCUUAGAUGUUCUGGGCCGCACGCGCGCUACAAUGAUUGUCUCAGCAUGUUUUGGGUGUGUAAAUACCCAGGAAUCCCGAGUAACAAUCGUGAUGGGGCUAGACCCUUGCAAUUUUUGGUCUCCAACGAGGAAUUCCUAGUAAAGGCAGGUCAUUAACCUGCCUUGAUUACGUCCCUGCCCUUUGUACACACCGCCCGUCGCACCUACCAAUUGAAUGGUCCGGUGAAAUCUCCAGACGUGGUUUUACCAUGAAAGCUGAUUGAACCUUAUCAUUUAGAGGAAGGUGAAGUCGUAACA